AUGACGAUAAUAAGCUGGAACUGCCGGGGUCUUGGGCAACCCCGGACAGUUCAGGAGUUGGUGUGCCUAGUGCGCACCUACCGACCUUCUCUGGUCUUUAUCUCUGAAACUAGGAAAAGCGAGGAUUAUGUUAAUAAGCUACGUAGGAGACUAGGUCUCAAGCAUUGCAUCUCCCAUGUCGGUAAGGGAAAGGGUGCAGGUAUAGCUCUCUUCUAUGAUGAGCAAGUUGAAAUAAAAGAACUCGCUAUUGGCCCGCGUUACAUCGAUGUGUUGGUA
rnacentral:rRNA from 1 species